GGCAGUAUGAACAGCAUUUGGCAGGCAUUUGCUAAGAGUGCUGAAUCCACUUAACACAGAAUUUUCAGUUCUCAAAUGAACUUUUUUACAAAUGAAAAAAAGACAUAUUUACAGAUACAGCUUUAUUUGUAAAACCCACCACACAUUUCAGUAAGUUGUGUGAUGGUCAAUAUGAGGACAAAAAGUUAUUGUGAUAACAUUUAUCAUAUUGUGCAGCCCUACCUAUGUCAAUGUGGAUAGGGUGAGUCUGAUGAUUUGAUGGAUCCUACAGCCCCUACUAGGUUUUUAAGUUAGGCUCACCCUUGAUCAAGAUAAGUCACCAUCAGUGGUGGACACAGUUCCACUAAUUUGCUAACCGCUAAUUUGUGAAGCUAACAUUUUUGUUAGGGAUUAGCUUUUCAGCUAACUUCAAAAACCAUCAGCGGACCAAUUAGCGUCGAUAGAUUUAGUUCCAAUAAUGUUUGGACUGCUAACGUUUUUCACAUAGUACAUGUGAAAAACAUUUUAAACCCUGUUGGCUCGUGUCUACUAUGUAUUUUGCAGCAGUGAGGCACCUGAGAGGAGCUGAGCUCAACUCUACCCCAGCAGAAGGGGCCUGGCUGACAGACUGCCAUAAAAGAAGAAAAAAAAAAAAACACACACAAUACAAAAGUCAUUGUCCUUGAGGGCAAACAGCGGUCCAGCCGUAAGGCAGAUGUCUUGAAAAGGAAAGCAGGUUUGACUUAUGGUUUUGAUUUAUAAAUCAAUGAAUCUGGAUAGAAUAACUACAUUAAUAAAGUUUGUCAUUUUUACAAAGUGAAAAUAUAACACAUAUCUUUUAAUUUUAAAAUAAUUCACAAAUUUUGAAGUUCUGAACAUAAGACGUACAGAUGCCCAAAGGGAUUAUGGGUAAACUGAGCCUUCUCUCACAAUGGUUGAGUCAUUCAUUCUACAUAAAAACCAACACAAGUAAAUGUAACGUGUGUGUUGGUGUUUACAAAUAAAUGUGCUUUUGUAAAAUAUGCAUUUUUUUUCAUUUGUAAAAAAAGAAGGCGUUUGAAAAACUAAAAAGUCUGUUGAGUUUUAAGUUUACAAAAUAUAUAUUGACACUAUAUUAUGAAAGAUGCAAAAUAAAAUAGAAACAUAAAAUAUACAAUGCUCCAAGAUACAUAAAGUGUAUGAAAGUUUAGACAUAAAAUAUAUAACAACAUAAGAAUGAAAUUCUAUAUACCAAGGGUAAGAAUGGCCCAGUUUUUUUCAGUUUUGAAUGCUAGAAACAUAAUCAAAAUAGCACAGAGGUGGUCUCCAUUGCUUAGUACACUUAGCUUCACUGUAGAAGGUUCCCGGUUCAAACCCCACCCCUGCCAUGUUUUUCCAUGUAAUGUGGAGUUGUAGAAGGAAGGGUAUCGUGUAAAGUUUGUGCCAAAUCAACAUGCGGAUCCAAGUUGGAUCUGCUAUGGCAACCCUUUGUGAAAACAAGGGAGCAGCUGAAGGAGUUUUACUUGACUUUUACAAACAUAAUCAAAAUGUAUUGAUAGUUUUAAUAGGAAAUUAGGCCAUUUAUUUGCUGCCAGAAUUCACAAAAUAAAAUAAAAUAUUUUUAUUUGAGUAACUUAGCAAUAUGAGGAGUCUGGUGGACCAGGACUGAAUAAUUAUGUCUGGUUUUAGGAAGCGAUUGGUCGUUUCCUCCCUUCCAGAUGCUGACCUUAUCUCUUUAUCCGGGAUUGGAACCCACAUCCAGUUGGGUGGGAUGGCCUGUCAUGGGUCCAACAUGCUAAAGAGCACCUCCAAAUUCCAGUUUUAAGCCAUCUGUCGUCGUGGAAUGCCAGUAAAGUUCAAAACAAUACUACUGGGGAGCCAUUUAAAGCUUGAACAUUUAUAAAGGUGUGUCUCAUGUUCUUGGCAGAGAAUGCAACUGCUUUUUUCUUGUUAUCUUUUAGUUUUUGACAGCCAUGUUACAUAAAUGGAGGAAGGUUUAAUAUGUUGGCGAAAUGUGAAUUAAUUCAGCCACACAAUGCAUACCCAGUUGUGUGACUUGAUCCUGAGAAGGAUAAAACAGAUGUUAAUGGAAUAUGUGAGUGAAUCACAGCUUGACCCCGAAUUGAUGGUUAAUCUGUCUGUCCUUACUCCAGGUUUGACCUGAUUAGUCCUGUCUGCCAACACAAGCCAGCUGUAAAACUGUAAUCAGAAUAAUCAUUGUGCCGUAAAGUCAGUAAAAUGCCAACCGUACUUCGGACAUGAUAGAGAAAAAUCUUGCCAAGCUGCUGUUAUCCACUUGUCACUGGUUUUGAUUAUUCCAUUAUUUUGCAUUCAGGCACAGAUGGCAGUUUUUGUAAACACAGAACUUAGAGCUGAUUAUAUUAAACACGAUUGUAAUCAUGUAAAAAUGUACUGCACUAAUCAAAUGCCAUAAGAUGAUGCAUGACAAUCAACAGUGUCCUGCUGAAAAUAAAGAAAUGAGAAACAGAUGUUUGCGGGUGUGUGAGGGCAAGUGUGCAUGUGUUUAAUAUAACUAUUUUAUGUUGGAGAAAAAUGUGCUAAUUGCAUUCAGGAACACUGACUGGGGUUUUGAACUGUGCAGUUUUGAGCUGAUGAUCGGAGUCUAUCGUCACAGACUAAAGCGUGGAUGGCUACUGUGUUAACUCCCAAAAAAGUGAAGGUCCGGAGCCCAAUCUGUCAGCUGGCUUCAGCCAAGCAUUUCUCUUUGUCUCAGAUUACACUGACGGUCAUUUAAGUCAUGAAUAUCAUCAGUGGUCAGGAUUUCUGUACACGCUGUCCAUUGAAACAGUUAAUGUAAGCACACACUCUGUAGCUUUUCUACUUCCAUAGAAUGACUUAUUUAUUCUGUAUAUUUUGUAUAUACUUAUGUUUCAUUAUAUCUUGGGUUUUGUGUGCCUUCGGUGCUGUACAGAAUAUAAAGAGUUGUAACUGAAACAGAAUAAAGAAUUCCAAUUAAUUUAUGUCUUG